GAUGUCGGCUCAUCGCAUCCUGGGGCUGUAGUCGGUCCCAAGGGUUGGGCUGUUCGCCCAUUAAAGCGGUACGCGAGCUGGGUUCAGAACGUCGUGAGACAGUUCGGUCCCUAUCCGUCGUGGGCGCAGGAAAUUUGAGAGGAGCUGUCCUUAGUACGAGAGGACCGGGAUGGACGCACCGCUGGUGUACCAGUUGUCUUGCCAAAGGCAUAGCUGGGUAGCUAUGUGCGGAAGGGAUAAGUGCUGAAAGCAUCUAAGCAUGAAGCCCCCCUCAAGAUGAGAUUUCCCUGUUACUUUGUAACGUAAGAUCCCUGAAAGAUGAUCAGGUUGAUAGGUCAGAGGUGGAAGCGCGGUGACGUGUGGAGCUGACUGAUACUAAUCGAUCGAGGACUUAACCUA
rnacentral:ncRNA from 1 species